rnacentral:rRNA from 1 species
CACGUAGGGCGCAAGCGUUGUCCGGAUUGACUGGGCGUAAAGCGCACGCAGGCGGUUGCGCGCGUGGGGUGUGAAAUCUGGCCGCUUAACGGCCAGGCGCCAUCCCAUACGGCGCGACUGGAGUGAUGCAGAGGUCGAUGGAAUUGCCGGUGUAGUGGUGAAAUGCGUAGAGAUCGGCAGGAACACCCAGGGGGAAACCAGUCGACUGGGCAUCUACUGACGCUGAGGUGCGAGAGCGUGGGGAGCGAACCGG